GCCAGGCUAGGUGGCACAUGCCUAUACUCCCAGCUACUGGGGAGGCUAAGGCUGGAGGAUUCCUUGACUACACUCUUGGGCUGUAGAAUUCCUUGACUACACUCUUGCACUAUACCGAUCGGGUGUCCACACAGAGUUCUGCAUUAAUAUGGUCUCCUCCCGGGAGCGGGGGACCACCAGGUUGCCUAAGGAGGGGCAAACCUGCUCAGGUGAGAAAUGGAGCAGGUCAAAACUCCCAUGCUGAUCAGUAGUGGGAUUGUGCCUGUGAAAAGCCACUGCACUCCAGCCUGGGCAAUAUAGUGAGACCCUGCCUCAU
rnacentral:SRP_RNA from 1 species